rnacentral:rRNA from 1 species
UAGGGAAUAUUGCAAAAUGGGCGAAAGCCCGAUGCAGCAACGCCGCGUGGGCGAUGAAGGCCUUCGGGUCGUAAAGCCCUUUUUGAGGGGAUGAGGAAGGACAGUACCCUCAGAAUAAGCCUCGGCUAACUACGUGCCAGCAGCCGCGGUAAAACGUAGGAGGCGAGCGUUAUCCGGAUUUACUGGGCGUAAAGCGCGUGCAGGCGGAUUGGAGAGUUGGAUGUGAAAGCUCCCGGCUUAACUGGGAGAGGUCGUUCAAUACUUCCAGUCUUGAGUACAGUAGAGGGAAGUGGAAUUCCGGGUGUAGUGGUGAAAUGCGUAGAGAUCCGGAGGAACACCAGUGGCGAAAGCGGCUUCCUGGACUGUAACUGACGCUCAGACGCGAAAGCUAGGGUAGCAAACG